CUGGACUGGAGGCCUCUCCAAUACAAAGCUGGAAGCUCCUGCUGAGAAUGGCAGAGUGCAGUAUGGAGUAAGCCAGACUCACGGUACAUGAUAUCUUCUAGCAAACCCACUUUGGAGACCUUAUCAUCAUAACUGCAGAUCACCA
rnacentral:lncRNA from 1 species